GCCGAAAUAGCUCAGUCGGGAGAGUGUUUAGACUGAAGAUUUAAAGGUACAUGGUUUAAUCCCUGGUUUCGGCA
rnacentral:tRNA from 1 species